rnacentral:rRNA from 1 species
GAUGAACGCUGGCGGCGUGCCUAAUACAUGCAAGUCGAGCGAACGGACGAGAAGCUUGCUUUUCUGAUGUUAGCGGCGGACGGGUGAGUAACACGUGGAUAACCUACCUAUAAGACUGGGAUAACUUCGGGAAACCGGAGCUAAUACCGGAUAAUAUUUUGAACCGCAUGGUUCAAAAGUGAAAGACGGUCUUGCUGUCACUUAUAGAUGGAUCCGCGCUGCAUUAGCUAGUUGGUAAGGUAACGGCUUACCAAGGCAACGAUGCAUAGCCGACCUGAGAGGGUGAGCGGCCACACUGGAACUGAGACACGGUCCAGACUCCUACGGGAGGCAGCAGUAGGGAAUCUUCCGCAAUGGGCGAAAGCCUGACGGAGCAACGCCGCGUGAGUGAUGAAGGUCUUCGGAUCGUAAAACUCUGUUAUUAGGGAAGAACAUAUGUGUAAGUAACUGUGCACAUCUUGACGGUACCUAAUCAGAAAGCCACGGCUAACUACGUG